GACAAAACCAACCAAAAGAACCAGGAACCCUCACAGGGUAAGUAGAGGACGUGAUGUCACUCAUUUGCAGAUAUGUCAAGUGAGGAUCAAACACAUAAGCUACUUCUAGAUUCAACCAAGCUCUUCCUCACUGUUUUUUAACAACCCUAUCUACACUAUAGAUCUGGAAAGAGAGGAUAAGGAAGUCAUAAAGGCUGUGAUUAAAAGUAUUCGUCAACAGAUUGAUGCUUUUCCAGGUGAGUAUGAGCAGAGCUCAUUUCAGCUGUGCCAUCCAUUACUGCUGCUUGAGUACAAAAUAAGUGUACAUUUUAACUGGCAAAAUUACAUCCAAACAGAUAAAGCAACAGCCCAGAGUACGACGAGUGAAUCUUUGACCGUGAGAUCCCAAAGCACCACUAGAAAGGAGGAGGAAAAAAAGAACAAAAUAGUGGCUUUGGAUGUGGCACUAGCAGCCGAGAAAACCAACCAGGAACCCUCACAGGAUAUGGAAAGAGAGCAGGACAGAGAGAAAGAUAAGGAAGCUAUAAAGGCUAUGAUUCACAGUAUGCGUCAUCAGAUUGAUGCUUUUUCAGGUGAGUAUGAGCAGAGCUCAUUUCAGAGGUGCCAUCCCUUACUGCUGCUGACGAAGCACUUUCAUGAAUCUUCAUACUUGAGUACAAUAUAAGUGUACAUUUUAAAACUCAUCUCAUCUAGGCCCUCGGGCAUACAGUGCAGGUCCUCUAAAGGUGUCUAAAGGACAGUUUUUUCCCGACGGCCAUCAAAACAUUAAACACAGACAUGCACUAAACGUAGAAUUUCAUUGUGUAAGAUAAUAAAUACACUAAUCACUUUAUUCGACUGCA
rnacentral:lncRNA from 1 species